UACGUAGGGUGCGAGCGUUGUCCGGAAUUACUGGGCGUAAAGAGCUCGUAGGUGGUUUGUCGCGUUGUUCGUGAAAACUCACAGCUCAACUGUGGGCGUGCGGGCGAUACGGGCAGACUGGAGUACUGCAGGGGAGACUGGAAUUCCUGGUGUAGCGGUGGAAUGCGCAGAUAUCAGGAAGAACACCCGUGGCGAAGGCGGCUCUCUGGGACGUGACUGACGCUGAGACGCGAAAGCGUGGGGAGCGAACAGG
rnacentral:rRNA from 1 species